rnacentral:ncRNA from 1 species
AUACGUGUAGGGUGGAGAUGCACAACCGUCGGACCGUGUAGCACUGCGUCCAGUCCACAGGCCCUCUGGCCCGCGACCGGACCCGGUCUUGAUCAAGAUGCCCCAGGGUGUCCACGGCCGAAGGCUGAUUCCUCCUCCUGACUGAGUGCAUUUGACACCACAGCUAGCAGGACGCGUCGUCGCGACUUCGGCAGCACUGGGCGACCAGUCCGACCGCAAGCCGCUGGACACGGGAUGGUCCGCCACCCCUGACGCACCCUGACACCGACCGUGAGAAGUCGUGUGUGCCGAACGCCGUUUCCGGCAGCCCGGAAACCGA